rnacentral:rRNA from 1 species
UACGGGGGGGGGCAAGCGUUGUUCGGAAUUACUGGGCGUAAAGGGCGCGCAGGCGGCUCAUUUUUGUCAGGCGUGAAAAGCCCCCGGGCUUAACCUGGGAACUGCGUUUGAUACGGAUGGGCUAGAGUUCGGGAGAGGAGAGUGGAAUUCCCAGUGUAGAGGUGAAAUUCGAUAGAUAUUGGGAAGAAACACCGGUGGCGAAGGCGGCUACUCUGGCCCGUUAAUUGACGCUGAGGCGCGAAAAAGCGUGGGGGAGCAAACAGGGAUUAAGAAAACCCC